CACGUAGGGUGCGAGCGUUGUCCGGAAUUAUUGGGCGUAAAGAGCUCGUAGGCGGUGUGUCGCGUCGGCCGUGAAAACCUGCAGCUUAACUGUGGGCUUGCGGUCGAUACGGGCAUCACUGGAGUUCGGCAGGGGAGACUGGAAUUCCUGGUGUAGCGGUGAAAUGCGCAGAUAUCAGGAGGAACACCGAUGGCGAAGGCAGGUCUCUGGGCUGACACUGACGCUCGAUGCACGAAAGCGUGGGGAGCAAACAGG
rnacentral:rRNA from 1 species